GAUGAACGCUGGCGGCGUGCCUAAUACAUGCAAGUCGAGCGAACAGACGAGGAGCUUGCUCCUCUGACGUUAGCGGCGGACGGGUGAGUAACACGUGGAUAACCUACCUAUAAGACUGGGAUAACUUCGGGAAACCGGAGCUAAUACCGGAUAAUAUAUUGAACCGCAUGGUUCAAUAGUGAAAGACGGUUUUGCUGUCACUUAUAGAUGGAUCCGCGCCGCAUUAGCUAGUUGGUAAGGUAACGGCUUACCAAGGCAACGAUGCGUAGCCGACCGGAGAGGGUGAUCGGCCACACUGGAACUGAGACACGGUCCAGACUCCUGCGGGAGGCAGCAGUAGGGAAUCUUCCGCAAUGGGCGAAAGCCUGACGGAGCAACGCCGCGUGAGUGAUGAAGGUCUUCGGAUCGUAAAACUCUGUUAUUAGGGAAGAACAAAUGUGUAAGUAACUAUGCACGUCUUGACGGUACCUAAUCAGAAAGCCACGGCUAACUACGUG
rnacentral:rRNA from 1 species